rnacentral:sRNA from 1 species
GGUUGCCGCGUAUCCUUAAACGGGCUUUGCGGUGACUGUUUUUGUUUGACCUUAUAUUAGGAGAUCGAUAGUGGCCCGUAUUGCUGGCAUUAACGUGCCUGA